rnacentral:rRNA from 1 species
AGAUUGAACGCUGGCGGAAUGCUUUACACAUGCAAGUCGAACGGCAGCACGGGGGCAACCCUGGUGGCGAGUGGCGCACGGGUGAGUAAUACAUCGGAACGUGUCCUAGAGUGGGGGGAUAGCCCGGCGAAAGCCGGAUUAAUACCGCAUACGCUCGAAAGAGGAAAGUGGGGGAUCGUAAGACCUCACGCCCAAGGAGCGGCCGAUGCCGGAUUAGCUUGUUGGUGAGGUAAAAGCUCACCAAGGCGACGAUCCGUAGCUGGUCUGAGAGGACGACCAGCCACACUGGGACUGAGACACGGCCCAGACUCCUACGGGAGGCAGCAGUGGGGAAUUUGGACAAUGGGGGAAACCCUGAUCCAGCCAUUCCGCGUGAGUGAAGAAGGCCUUCGGUUGUAAAGCUCUUUCGGCAGGAACGAAACGGUUGGCGUAAUACCCAGACUACUGACGGUACCUCGAAGAAGAAGCACCGCUAACUACGUGCCAGCAGCCGC